rnacentral:rRNA from 1 species
UACGGAGGGUGCAAGCGUUAUCCGGAUUUACUGGGUUUAAAGGGUGCGCAGGCGGAUAUGUAAGUCAGUGGUGAAAUCUCUGGGCUUAACCCGGAAAUUGCCAUUGAUACUAUAUAUCUUGAAUGCGUGUGGAGGUAAGCGGAAUAUGUCAUGUAGCGGUGAAAUGCUUAGAUAUGACAUAGAACACCUAUUGCGAAGGCAGCUUACUACGCAGAUAUUGACGCUCAUGCACGAAAGCGUGGGGAUCAAACAGG